rnacentral:rRNA from 1 species
GCGAGGAAUAUUGCGCAAUGGGGGCAACCCUGACGCAGUAACGCCGCGUGCGGGAAGAAGGCCUUCGGGUCGUAAACCGCUUUUCGGAGGGACGAGUGAGGACGGUACCUCUGGAAUCAGUCUCGGCUAACUACGUGCCAGCAGCCGCGGUAAAACGUAGGAGGCGAGCGUUAUCCGGAUUCACUGGGCGUAAAGCGCAUGUAGGUGGUUCGGCAAGUCGCAGGUGAAAGCCCCUGGCUCAACUGGGGGAGGUCGUGCGAAACUGCGGGACUGGAGGACCAGAGAGGAAGGUGGAAUUCCCGGUGUAGCGGUGGAAUGCGUAGAGAUCGGGAGGAACACCAGUGGCGCAGGCGGCCUUCUGGCUGGUUUCUGACACUGAGAUGCGAAAGCGUGGGGAGCAAACGGGAUUAGAUACCCGAGUAGUCC